rnacentral:rRNA from 1 species
AGUGAACGCUGGCGGCGUGCCUAAUACAUGCAAGUCGAACGGAGUGUCGCACGGGGGAGUGUUAUAUAGCUAAACUGUCCCUUUCUGGAGGACAACAGAUAGAAAUGACUGCUAAAACUCCAUAGCAAGGGAUGAGACUCUAUCGUAUCAGCUAGUCGGUGGGGUAACGUCGGACCGAGGGAAUGACGCGUAACUGGUCAGAGAGGAUGAGCAGUCACAUUGGAACUGAGACACGGUGGAGAAUCCUACGGGAGGGAGCAGAAGGGAAUAGUGCGCAAUGGGGGAAGCCAUGACGGAGCAACGGGGCGUGGAGGAUGUGAAUCUGGGGGGAGGGAACUCGUUUUAAUAGGGAAGCGGUACCUGACGAAUAAGCACCGGCUAACUCCGUGCCAGCAGCCGCGGUAAUUC